GCACACACGACCCAGCUGCGCGGUGGAUGUCUAGAAGGUAUUAAAACAGAUUUAUAUUAAUACUCCACGUGACCUUCUGCUUGACGCUGUGCUUCACCGAGAACUGUGUCACCGGCAGGAAGCUGAUCUUUGUGGACUGUGCCCACAUGCCGAGGCUCGGAAUCACAGAUUUUAAACAUAUGCAGGCCAUCGCGGCGCGCGUGCGCGAGCUGCUGGGCAUCGGGGAGGUCCUGUGGAGUCGCAGCAUCGCCGACCCCCCGCGGGACCCCGAGGGCCUCUUCCUGGAAAUGAAGAGCCGCACGGGCGUCAAGACCGACGAGCUGACCCCUCAGCAGCUCCUGGAAGACAUACGCCACUGACCGCAUCCGAAGUCCGCGGACAGUUCGGGUUUGCCGCGGCGGACACGUUAUGAUUUUUAAAAAUAAACAAUAUUGACGUAGUUGUACUCCUGCCACACAUUAUAAAAAUUGAAAUAUAAUCAAAACAAAAUUUUUAAAUGCAUUGACCUUGAGUGGAAUACUUCCUUUUCACAGAUUUGUAAUGCUGCGUCACAGUUUGAAAAAUAUUUCUAUUUUGCUCAUAAGUGAGACACGGAUGUUUGGAUGGAUGGAUGGAGAGAUAGAUAUGAUUCUGAUGGAUAGAUGGAUGGAUUUAUGGUUGGCUAGAUGGCUAGAUGGAUGGAGAUAGAUGGAGAGAUGGAUGGUAGAUAGAUGGAGGGAUGAAGAGUUAGAUGGAGAUAGAUGGAGCGAUAGAUGGAGAGAUAGAAGUGAUUCAGAUGGAUGGAUGGAUGGCUGGAUAGAUGGAGAUAGAUGGAGAGAUAGAUGCGAGAUAGAUGAUGGAUGGGUGGAUGGAUAGAUAGAUCGAUAGAUGGGGAGAUGGAGAGAUGAAGAG